rnacentral:lncRNA from 1 species
AGCUGUGUAGACCCUUAGGAGCUUGUCAUGCGGUAAAAAUCAAGAUUCACUUGCACGUUCACUCAUACAUGCUGCUUCUACUCCAGAAGUACGCAUCCACAUACAUCCACUCAUUUCCAUCUCCAGAUUCACCCAAAAUUAUUCUACUCCUAUCCAGGAGAGAAUAGCCAAGAACAUUAUCCUAUCCCUAUUAUUCCCCGUGAAAUAAAUGCUCGAGAUAUUUUGGUUACUACCACUUGCUACAUU